rnacentral:rRNA from 1 species
UACGUAGGGUGCGAGCGAUAAUCGGAAUUACUGGGCGUAAAGCGUGCGCAGGCGGUUAUGUAAGACAGAGGUGAAAUCCCCGGGCUCAACCUGGGAACUGCCUUUGUGAAUGCAUGACUAGAGUACGGCAGAGGGGGGUGGAAUUCCGCGUGUAGCAGUGAAAUGCGUAGAUAUGCGGAGGAACACCGAUGGCGAAGGCAAUCCCCUGGGCCUGUACUGACGCUCAUGCAAGAACGCGUGGGGAGCAAACAGG